ACUCGCGUCCUUACGGGAUUGCAAUGAGAACAAUUUAAAUCACUUAACGAGGAUCAAUUGGAGGGCAAGUCUGGUGCCAGCAGCCGCGGUAAUUCCAGCUCCAAUAGUGUAUAUUAAAGUUGUUGCAGUUAAAAAGCUCGUAGUUGAACUUCUGGCCGCGCGCAGUUUGGCGACCUCGCCGGCUGCGUGCUGCCAUCCGUCUGCAAACUCCAUACAACCUUGAGUGGCUUGGUGGGGGGAGUAGACAUUUUACUUUGAAAAAAUUAGAGUGUUUCAAGCAGGUUAUUGCCAGAAUACUUUAGCAUGGAAUAAUGGAAUAGGACUCUUGUCCAUUUGGUUGGUUAUUGGACCAGAGUAAUGAUUAACAGGGACAGUUGGGGGCAUUAGUAUUUAAUUGUCAGAGGUGAAAUUCAUGGAUUUAUUAAAGACUAACUUAUGCGAAAGCAUUUGCCAAGGAUGUUUUCAUUAAUCAAGAACGAAAGUUAGGGGAUCAAAGACGAUCAGAUACCGUCCUAGUCUUAACUAUAAACGAUGUCGACUCGGGAUUGGAAAGGUAUUUGUAUCCUUUCCAGCACCGUAUGAGAAAUCAUUAAGUCUUUGGAUUCUGGGGGGAGUAUGGUCGCAAGGCUGAAACUUAAAGGAAUUGACGGAAGAGCACCACCAGGCGUGGGACCUGCGGCUUAAUUUGACCCAACACGGGAAAACUUAUUUCAGCAAAACAUGAGUGGGAUUGACAGAUUGAGAGCUCUUUCUUGAUCUUAUGGGGUGUGGUGCAUGGCCGUUCUUAGUUGGUGGAGUGAUUUGUCUGGUUAAUUCCGUUAACGAACGAGACCUUAACCUGCCAACUAGUCAUCGUGUUAAACUACGCGCUGUACUUCUUAGAGGGACUAUGAGUAAUAAGCUCAUGGAAGUUUGAGGCAAUAACAGGUCUGUGAUGCCCAUAGAUGUUGAAAGCGGCACGCGCGUCAUACUGUCCAGUAACAGCAAGUUUUACUUCCUCUACCGGCAGGUUAGGGGUAAUCUACAAAACUGGACGUGGUAGGGAUAGAUCUUUGGAAUUAUAGAUCUUGAACGAAGAAUGCCUAGUAAGUGCAAGUCAUCAACUUGUGCUGAUUACGUCCCUGUCCUUUGUACACACCGCCCGUCGCUCCUACCGAUUUCGAGCGAUAUGGUGAAUCUCCUGGACCGUGGAGCUCCUCGUGGGCUUCGUGGAAAGUUUAGUAAACCUUAUCGCUUAGAGGAAGGAAAAGUCGUAACAAGGUA
rnacentral:rRNA from 1 species